rnacentral:ncRNA from 1 species
GGUCAAGUUACAAAGGGCGCAGGGCGGAUGCCUUGGCACCAGGAGCCGAAGAAGGACGUGAUAAGCUGCGAAAAGCUGCGGGGAGGAGCAAAUAUCCAUUGAUCCGCAGGUAUCCGAAUGGGGAAACCCGGCAGAAAGAACUUCUGUCACCGUAUGAUGAAUCCAUAGUCAUACGGAGGGAACCCGGCGAACUGAAACAUCUAAGUAGCCGGAGGAAGAGGAAGAAACAUCGAAUCCCUAAGUAGUGGCGAGCGAAAGGGGACGAAGCCCAAACCAAGGAUUUAUCCUUGGGGUUGAGGACCACAGACGAAGAAGCAGUAGGUAGUAG